ACACAAUAAAUAGAAAAAAAUUUAAAAUAGGAUCCGUUCUGAAUUUGAUAUCAUGUUUGUGCAAAAUGGAAAAAAUAAUUAAUGUCUUAGGUUAACUAAUUAACCUAACGCAUGCAAAUCAAAAUUGAUGUCACUGUAAAAACAUUUUGUAUAGACAAUAUAUAUGUAAAUUCCUACUUUUUUUUUUUUAUUUUAAGCAAA
rnacentral:misc_RNA from 1 species